AAUAAUAAUAAUAAUAACUAGAAAAGGUAAAGUUCGUGAACGAACUUUAAGUUGGCUUGGAAAAGAACGCUAAUAACGUUAAAAAGUUAAAAUGGUUGCUAAGCUUUUUCCGUCUGAAGAGUGUGAAGAGUCAUUGAUUUGCUGUUAACGCUAAAUGCUAAAAACGCUGAAAUCUAAAAACAUUUGGUUAAAUGCUGAAAUCUAAAAAUGUUUGAUUAAACGCUGAAAUCUAAAAACGUUUGGUUAAACGCUGAAAUCUAAAAACAUUUGGUUAAACACUGAAAUCUAAAAAUGUUUGAUUAAACGCUGAAAUCUAAAAACGUUUGGUUAAACGCUGAAAUCUAAAAACAUUUGGUUAAACGCUGAAAUCUAAAAACGCUUGUUUAAAUGCUGAAAUCGUAAAACUUUUGGUUAAACUUUUGAUUGCUAAUGUGUUGCUAGGCGGUUGCUAUUAUUUCUGAAAAGGUUGCUAAGCUGUUGCUAGGCAAUUGCUAAUGUUUUCCAGGUGGUUGCUAAGCUGUUGCUAACUGGUUGCUAGGCAAUUGCUAACAUAUAACAGGUGGUUGCUAGGCAGUUGCUAAGUGGUUGCUAGGCAGUUGCUAACGUUUUCCAAGUGGUUGCUAGGCAGUUGCUUAGUGGUUGCUAGGCAGUUGCUAACAUUUUCCAGGUGGUUGCUAAGUGGUUGCUAGGCAGUUGCUAACAUAUUCCAGGUGGUUGCUAGGCAGUUGCUAAGUGGUUGCUAGGCAGUUGCUAACGUUUUCCAGGUGGUUGCUAAGUGGUUGCUAGGCAGUUGCUAACGUAUUCCAGGUGGUUGCUAGGCAGUUGCUAAGUGGUUGCUAGGCAGUUGCUAACGUUUUCCAGGUGGUUGCUAAGUGGUUGGUAGGCAGUUGCUAACGUUUUCCAGGUGGUUGCUAAGUGGUUGCUAGGCAGUUGCUAACGUUUUCCAGAUGGUUGCUAGGCAGUUGCUAAGUGGUUGCUAGGCAGUUGCUAAUGUUUUCCAAGUGGUUGCUAGGCAGUUGCUAAGUGGUUGCUAGGCAGUUGCUAACAUUUUCCAGGUGGUUGCUAAGUGGUUGCUAGGUAGUUGCUAACAUAUUCCAGGUGGUUGCUAGGCAGCUGCUAAGUGGUUGCUAGGCAGUUGCUAACGUUUUCCAGGUGGUUGCUAAGUGGUUGCUAGGCAGUUGCUAAUGUUUUCCAGGUGGUUGCUAGGCAGUUGCUAAGUGGUUGCUAGGCAGUUGCUAACGUUUUCCAGGUGGUUGCUAAGUGGUUGCUAGGCAGUUGCUAACGUUUUCCAGGUGGUUGCUAGGCAGUUGCUAAGUGGUUGCUAGGCAGUUGCUAACAUUUUCCAGGUGGUUGCUAAGUGGUUGCUAGGUAGUUGCUAACAUAUUCCAGGUGGUUGCUAGGCAGCUGCUAAGUGGUCGCUAGGCAGUUGCUAACGUUUUCCAGGUGGUUGCUAAGUGGUUGCUAGGCAGUUGCUAACGUUUUCCAGGUGGUUGCUAGGCAGUUGCUAAGUGGUUGCUAGGCCAUUGCUAACGUUUUCCAGGUGGUUGCUAAGUGGUUGCUAGGCAGUUGCUAACGUUUUCCAGGUGGUUGCUAGGCAGUUGCUAAGUUGUUGCUAGGCAGUUGGUAACGUAUUCCAGGUGGUUGCUCAGUGGUUGCUAGGCAGUUGCUAAUGUUUUCCAGGUGGUUGCUAAGUGGUUGCUAGGCAGUUGCUAAGUGGUUGCUAGGCAGUUGCUAACGUUUUCCAAGUGGUUGCUAGGCAGUUGCUAAGUGGUUGCUAGGCAGUUGCUAACGUUUUCCAGGUGUUUGCUAAGUGGUUGCUAACUGGUUGCUAGGCAGUUGCUAUAAUUUCUAAAGUGGUUGCUAAGUUGUUGCUAAGUGGUUGCUAGGCAGUUGCUAACGUUUUCCAGGUGGUUGCUAAGGUGUUGCUAAGUGGUUGCUAAGCAGUUAAUAGGUGGUUGCUAAAACCUGGCUGGGGUGCCGGG